rnacentral:rRNA from 1 species
AGAGUUUGAUCCUGGCUCAGGACGAACGCUGGCGGCGCGCCUAACACAUGCAAGUCGAACGAGCGAGAGAGAGCUUGCUUUCUCGAGCGAGUGGCGAACGGGUGAGUAACGCGUGAGGAACCUGCCUCAAAGAGGGGGACAACAGUUGGAAACGACUGCUAAUACCGCAUAAGCCCACGGCUCGGCAUCGAGCAGAGGGAAAAGGAGCAAUCCGCUUUGAGAUGGCCUCGCGUCCGAUUAGCUAGUUGGUGAGGUAACGGCCCACCAAGGCGACGAUCGGUAGCCGGACUGAGAGGUUGAACGGCCACAUUGGGACUGAGACACGGCCCAGACUCCUACGGGAGGCAGCAGUGGGGAAUAUUGCACAAUGGGGGAAACCCUGAUGCAGCGACGCCGCGUGGAGGAAGAAGGUCUUCGGAUUGUAAACUCCUGUUGUUGAGGAAGAUAAUGACGGUACUCACCAAGGAAGUGACGGCUAACUACGUGCCAGCAGCCGCGGUAAAACGUAGGUCACAAGCGUUGUCCGGAAUUACUGGGUGUAAAGGGAGCGCAGGCGGGAAGACAAGUUGGAAGUGAAAUCUAUGGGCUCAACCCAUAAACUGCUUUCAAAACUGUUUUUCUUGAGUAGUGCAGAGGUAGGCGGAAUUCCCGGUGUAGCGGUGGAAUGCGUAGAUAUCGGGAGGAACACCAGUGGCGAAGGCGGCCUACUGGGCACCAACUGACGCUGAGGCUCGAAAGUGUGGGUAGCAAACAGGAUUAGAUACCCUGGUAGUCCACACCGUAAACGAUGAUUACUAGGUGUUGGAGGAUUGACCCCUUCAGUGCCGCAGUUAACACAAUAAGUAAUCCACCUGGGGAGUACGACCGCAAGGUUGAAACUCAAAGGAAUUGACGGGGGCCCGCACAAGCAGUGGAGUAUGUGGUUUAAUUCGACGCAACGCGAAGAACCUUACCAAGUCUUGACAUCCUCUGACGAACGUAGAAAUACGUUUUCUCUUCGGAGCAGAGAGACAGGUGGUGCAUGGUUGUCGUCAGCUCGUGUCGUGAGAUGUUGGGUUAAGUCCCGCAACGAGCGCAACCCUUAUGGUCAGUUACUACGCAAGAGGACUCUGGCCAGACUGCCGUUGACAAAACGGAGGAAGGUGGGGAUGACGUCAAAUCAUCAUGCCCUUUAUGACUUGGGCUACACACGUACUACAAUGGCGUUAAACAAAGAGAAGCAAGACCGCGAGGUGGAGCAAAACUCAGAAACAACGUCCCAGUUCGGACUGCAGGCUGCAACUCGCCUGCACGAAGUCGGAAUUGCUAGUAAUCGCAGAUCAGCAUGCUGCGGUGAAUACGUUCNCCGGGCCUUGUACACACCGCCCGUC